CUUUAAUUUUCGACCUGAAUUCAGACGUGAUUACCCGCUGAACUUAAGCAUAU
rnacentral:rRNA from 1 species